CCUACGGGGGGCAGCAGUGGGGAAUUUUGGACAAUGGGCGAAAGCCUGAUCCAGCCAUGCCGCGUGCAGGAUGAAGGCCUUCGGGUUGUAAACUGCUUUUGUACGGAACGAAAAGACUCUGGUUAAUACCUGGGGUCCAUGACGGUACCGUAAGAAUAAGCACCGGCUAACUACGUGCCAGCAGCCGCGGUAAUACGUAGGGUGCAAGCGUUAAUCGGAAUUACUGGGCGUAAAGCGUGCGCAGGCGGUUAUAUAAGACAGAUGUGAAAUCCCCGGGCUCAACCUGGGAACUGCAUUUGUGACUGUAUAGCUAGAGUACGGUAGAGGGGGAUGGAAUUCCGCGUGUAGCAGUGAAAUGCGUAGAUAUGCGGAGGAACACCGAUGGCGAAGGCAAUCCCCUGGACCUGUACUGACGCUCAUGCACGAAAGCGUGGGGAGCAAACAGGAUUAGAUACCCUGGUAGUCCACGCCCUAAACGAUGUCAACUGGUUGUUGGGUCUUCACUGACUCAGUAACGAAGCUAACGCGUGAAGUUGACCGCCUGGGGAGUACGGCCGCAAGGUUGAAACUUAAAUGAAUUGACGG
rnacentral:rRNA from 1 species